rnacentral:rRNA from 1 species
AUUGAACGCUGGCGGAAUGCUUUACACAUGCAAGUCGAACGGCAGCACGGGGGCAACCCUGGUGGCGAGUGGCGAACGGGUGAGUAAUACAUCGGAACGUGCCCAGUCGUGGGGAUAACGUAGCGAAAGCUACGCUAAUACCGCAUACGAACUCUGGUUGAAAGCGGGGGACUCGCAAGAGCCUCGCGCGAUUGGAGCGGCCGAUGGCAGAUUAGGUAGUUGGUGGGGAAAGGCUCACCAAGCCGACGAUCUGUAGCUGGUCUGAGAGGACGACCAGCCACACUGGGACUGAGACACGGCCCAGACUCCUACGGGAGGCAGCAGUGGGGAAUUUGGACAAUGGGCGCAAGCCUGAUCCAGCCAUUCCGCGUGC